CAGCCACUAAGCAAAUACAACCCAUUCCACAUGUGCUUCUAAGAUAAAGACAACUCGCUCUCAGGCUCCCAAGUCUUCCCUCCCGCCAGCAGUUUCUCCUAGGGUAACCAAAGAUUGGCUUUGAAAUCUAUAAUCACCUCUCGGUCCAACCACAGUGCUGCAAAUGGCAUUAUUUCAUUUUUUUUUUUUAAUGAAAGCACUUAUUUUUUACACAAGUCAAUGAUGUUGGAGCCUCUGAGAGGCAGCCAGGACCCACCCCAGCCCCGACAGUCCACCUGCCCCUCAGCACCAGCCCCCGUCCUGGGACCAGCCCUGAGCUGUGCAGCUUCUCAAGGCCACCGGGCCUGAGCUCCAGACCCACAAAACUUUGGUCCGUUCAGAAAUUCAUAUGAAGAAGAUAAAAUGACGGCAGCUGAUGCUAUAAUGACUCCCCUUCUGUCCGUGGCCAUCAGUCCUUCAGCUGAAAUGACUGUCACCAUCCUGCUGCCAGAAGUAUUUUCUGACUCCAACACUGAAGCAAAUUCUCAAGGGCCAGCCCAAACUCUCCUGCAAUAACGAAAAUAUACCCACUCCAUUUACUUUACAUAGAUUAUCCAGGAGCUCACUUCCUCACCUUUUUACAGCGUAGCCACAGAUGGAAGUUAUCACGAUAAGAAAGAAAAUUUCCCUUUGCUUGCUCAAUAUUUCUCCCCUGAAAAAACCUUGCUCAUAAGGCAGUUGUGAGUAAAAGCUCUUCCAGCAGAGCCUUGAGCAACAAUGGUAAAUUUUUGCAGACCUUCCCUUACUGGUUAGAAGUUAAUAAAAAAAAAAAAA